rnacentral:tRNA from 1 species
UGUAGCUCAGUGGUAGGGCACUUGCCUGGCACUCACAAGGCUCUGGGUUUGAUUCCCAGCA